rnacentral:misc_RNA from 1 species
UUUCCGUAGGUGAACCUGCGAAAGGAUCAUUACUGAGUGAGGGCCCCUCGGGGUCCAACCUCCCACCCGUGUUUAACGAACCUUGUUUCUUCGGCGGGCCCGCCUCUCGGCCGCCGGCGGGCAUCUGCCCCCGCGCCCGCGCCCGCCGAAGCCACCUGUGAACGCCGUCUGAAGUAUGCUGUCUGAGACAAUUAUUUAAUUAAUUAAAACUUUCAACAACGGAUCCCUUUGUUUCGGCUUCGACGAAGAACGCAGCAGAUCGGAAGAGCAAACACCCAA